rnacentral:lncRNA from 1 species
CAGUGUAAAGUAAAAUUAGUAGUCUUGAAGAAAAAAUUAACAAAUGAGCAUAGCAAAAUACUCCUUAAAUCCUACAAAAUUCAUCCAACUCAUCAUCUCCAAACUCACUUUCGAUCACAGAGCACCAGAGAGCCUCCAUCAAAGCAAAUGAAGCGAACAUCCUCAUCCUCCACUUUCUCUACCACCAAUAUCAGGGGAGAAGUGAUGGCGAAGAAGAAAGUAUCCAAUGCUCACCAUGAGAAGCCAUCGCAGAAGUAGGAGGAAGCGGGAAAUCGCAAUCCAUGUACUCGCCGCCGUCUUCUGUUGACUCGAAGAAGACCGAGAGCCUCAAAUCGCUGAAUACGAAGAAAAGUCCCCAAAAUCUAGAAUUCCUAAAUCCUCCUCCAUCUCAAAUCCGGCGAAUCGCCACCACUAUCGCAGCCGCAGCAGCUCUGCCGUGCCCUCGCCUCUCGAUUCUUCUUCCCCUAGAAAUUCCGAUGAAUAGCCCGUAGGCUGCCGCCGCCGAGUACCCCUUCGUCCCUUGUUUGGCCAGAUGAGUAGUAGGCCGCAAGGAUCGCUGCCCUCAGCCGCCACAAGAUCUACAUCGUCCGUCGCGCUCACCUCUUGCCACCGUCGUAGUCCGAUCUGCCGCCGGAAGAGAGAAAGAAAGGGGGAGAGAGAGAGAAAGAGAGAGAGCUUUAUGCAGAGUGAGAGAGAAACUGAUAGGGAUUAAGAGUGGGUAAUUUUUUAAUUUUAAUCUUAGGGACAAUUUAGUCAUUUAACACAAAAAUGGAUAUUUUUUUNGAAGUUUUUAUUUGAGUGGGUAAAUUUUAAGUUUACUAAGGGGGGUGUAUUAGUUCAAGAUUUUUAUAGAUUUCUGCAGACUUUUAAAGUCUGGGUGUAUUCGUUCAAGACUUUUAAAAGUCUAUGAAAGUCUGGGUGUAUUCGUUCAAGACUUUUAAAAGUCUUUUAAAGUUUGGGUGUAUUCGUUCAGGACUUUUAAAAGUCUUUUAAAGUCUGGGUGUAUUAGUUAAUCUAUGGACUUUAAAGUUGGAAUGACUUUCAAUGAUUUCGCUCAAAAAAUAGGCAUGAACAAAUUCGAGGACAGACCACGAGAAUUCACAAAUCUUGCAAAAUCCCCGCGCUCGCUGGGACCCAGCGGCCGUGUCCAACAAAGCCAGCGAUCGCUGGGGCGCCGCGGCCGCUCGGACAAGCCAGCGGUCGCUGGGCCGACCAAGAUUCGUGGGGCUCGUGUCCAACUAUGCCAGCGAUCGCUGGGGCGCUGCGACCGCUGGGACAAGCCAGCGAUCGCUGGGCCCUAGCAGUCGUUGGGCCCAGCAAAUCCUUCAUAAAUAGUAGUAGCAGCCGUCCUUUUAUUUCAUCACACAAAAUUUGAACCAUACUCGAAAAAAAACACAAUUUUAGGGUUCUGCAUUGGCUAUUAGCAAGGUAUUCUCUCAUAAAUCUUGUAUCUUUAUAUUAUUUUCGUAUUCAAUUUUUAUAAUGCAUAAACCUUGAAUCUUUAUAAUUUGUUAGCAGCUAUAUUCUGUUUUUCUAUUGCAUGUGAGUUUAUUAUAGUUUUUGUUAUUUUUAUUUAUACUUUCUUUUAUUCAUUAUUAUAGUACUAUAUACGUAUAUAUAUUUUGUGUCUAGUAAUAUUAUCAUGAGAGAUUCUCAACAACAAGACACGAAAAAGAGGGCAGUCUAUGAACCAUGGACUAAGGAACAAAGCGAUGUAUUGUUAGAAAUUUUGGUUGAGUCUGCAAAUUGGGAUGGCGUGAUAAUAGUGGUAUCUUUAGCAAACACUACUACAAAAUUUCACAUACAUAACACUUCAUACAUAACGGUUUUUUUAAAAAACCGUUAUGUAUGAGCGCAUUUUCUAGAAAAGACAACGGUUCUGAAGAAAUCCGUUAUCUAUGUAGUGUUAUCCAUAACAAUAGAUAACAGUAUGAUGUAAUCCGUUAUCUUUUAGCGUUAUCUAUUAGUUACAUACAUAACGGUUUGAUAAACCGUUACGUCAACCGUUAUCUAUUAACACUUUUUUACAACAGUUUUUUUACCGUUAAGAAAUGCGUUAUAUAACUGUUAUGUAUUAACAUUAUUUUUUUUCAUAAAUAUAUAUUUUUAUUAGGUAAAAUUCAAAACCUAACUCAAAAUCUAAUUUUCAAGCUUCUGCUCCAAUACUCAUAACACACCCGCCGCCUCCCCCCGGUGACGCCGCGCCGGACGACGCUGCACGAGCAACCGGACGCCGGUGCCAGUGAGUCAGUGACCGCCCCUGCCCCCACCCACCCUGCAUCGCGUCGCCUCUGACGCCGCUCUUCUCGCAGCAGCAGAUCGAGCGGCGGAGCACCCUUCUCCUCUCCACCGAGCACGAGCAGACCACCCCUCUCCUCCGCCGACGCCGCUCUUCUCGCAGCAGCAGCAGCAGAUCGGGCUUUUUGCUUCUCCGUCUGCCACCUACCGCACCCGUCUCUCUCUCUCC